UCAGUACGGCGAGUGAAGCGGCAAAAGCUCAAAUUUGAAACCCUCGGGAUUGUAAUUUGAAGAUUUGGCAUUGGAGAAAGCUAACCCAAGUUGCUUGGAAUAGUACGUCAUAGAGGGUGACAACCCCGUCUGGCUAACCGUUCUCCAUGUAUUGCCUUAUCAAAGAGUCGAGUUGUUUGGGAAUGCAGCUCAAAGUGGGUGGUAAACUCCAUCUAAAGCUAAAUACUGGUGAGAGACCGAUAGCGAACAAGUACUGUGAAGGAAAGGUGAAAAGAACUUUGAAAAGAGAGUGAAAUAGUAUGUGAAAUUGUUGAUAGGGAAGGAAAUGAGUGGAGAGUGGCCGAGGUUUCAGCCGCCCCUCGUGGGCGGUGUACUGCCGACGCCGAGUCAUCGAUAGCGAGACGAGGGUUACAAAUGGGAGCGCCUU
rnacentral:rRNA from 1 species